UGAGGAACGGUACUGGAUUUUUUUUCUUCUUUCUUAAAAAAAGUGACAGAAAUCCUAGUGACUUUGGGGGGGAGAGAUAUGAAUAGAUACGAUGAUUGAGUUUUUUUUCAAAGGAGUCCAUGUUUGAUUCUCUCCUUCACCCAGCAUUCUCAGUGGUUUGUAAUUCGAACACCUCUUCCUCCAUGACCUUCGACACUGAUAAAAGUGGAAGAAACUGAGGCACGGGGAGAGAAAGGCAGCUGAGAAGAGAGGAAUGAGAAAUGCUCACCCUCCGCUAGUCAACCCCGUGAGUUACCUGGAUGACAGCACACACUCCUUGGUCUCUUCACUGAAACCUAUGUCCCGGAAAGACAUGGCCACACCUGGGGGAGUGACCUGCCGUGAGGAUGUAGGUGGACGUCAUGAAUGACAUACAAGCUGUGCUUACGGGCAUGUGGAGCAGGUAGGCGGCUGCUUAGACAUUUUUGUCUUUUCCUUUUGUAGCUGUGUGGCCCAGGUUCACUUUGCCAAUAAACACCCUCCUCGGCCUCCGGAGUGCACAUCUGUAGGUGUGCACCCACCAUGCCUAGGUCUUAAAGGUGAGUGACUCUAGAUCCUUUGGGUUAUUCUUAAGUCUGUCCAAGAGUUUGC